rnacentral:rRNA from 1 species
GGAAUCUUCCACAAUGGGCGAAAGCCUGAUGGAGCAACGCCGCGUGUGUGAUGAAGGGUUUCGGCUCGUAAACACUGUUGUAAGAGAAGAAUGACAUUGAGAGUAACUGUUCAAUGUGUGACGGUAUCUUACCAGAAAGGAACGGCUAAAUACGNGCCAG